rnacentral:rRNA from 1 species
UACGUAGGGUGCAAGCGUUGUCCGGAAUUAUUGGGCGUAAAGAGCGCGUAGGCGGUCCGAUAAGUCGGCUGUGAAAGUCAGGGGCUCAACCCUUGGAAGCCGGCCGAUACUGUCGGACUAGAGUCCGGAAGAGGCGAGUGGAAUUCCUGGUGUAGCGGUGAAAUGCGUAGAUAUCGGGAGGAACACCUGUGGCGAAAGCGGCGCACUGGACCACAACUGACGCUGAGGCGCGAAAGCUAGGGGAGCAAACAGG